rnacentral:tRNA from 1 species
UGUCAAGGGAUAGGAAUCGAACCCACGACCUUCCGCUUACUGGGCAGAUGCCAUGACCACUAGGCUACCCUGGAC